rnacentral:rRNA from 1 species
AUGGCUCAGAUUAAACGCUGGCGGCAGGCCUAACACAUGCAAGUCGAGCGGUAGCACAAGAGAGCUUGCUCUCUGGGUGACGAGCGGCGGACGGGUGAGUAAUGUUUGGGAAACUGCCUGAUGGUGGGGGAUAACUAGUGGAAACGGUAGCUAAUACCGCAUAAUGUCGCAAGACCAAAGUGGGGGACCUUCGGGCCUCACGCCAUCAGAUGUGCCCAGAUGGGAUUAGCUGUUAGGUGGGGUAAUGGCUCACCUAGGCGACGAUCCCUAGCUGGUCUGAGAGGAUGACCAGCCACACUGGAACUGAGACACGGUCCAGACUCCUACGGGAGGCAGCAGUGGGGAAUAUUGCACAAUGGGCGCAAGCCUGAUGCAGCCAUGCCGCGUGUGUGAAGAAGGCCUUCGGGUUGUAAAGCACUUUCACGAGGAGGAAGGGUAAUGUGUU